UAUGGUCAAAAAAAUACCUAUAAAAGUUGCAGCAAGUACCUCCCAACAUCUUUAAUUAUCAUAAAAGGUGGCGAAAAACAUCUUCAUUUCAUUUCAUGGCAAAUUUAAAUGUAGGAAUUACAAGUAGAACUAGGGCAAAUUCUCUAGUACUAGAAGAGAAAGGUUAUAGGCACUUUGCAUAGUCAAAGAGAGAAGCAAAGCCAUUUAGAUUAGUUUCAUGAUCCCUAAACAUUGUUGGCUCCAACCCAUCUCCUUCCUCUCCUUUCUUAUCCCUACCUUCUCAUCCAUCCCAUCCUCGCC
rnacentral:lncRNA from 1 species